UGGGGAAUAUUGGACAAUGGGGGAAACCCUGAUCCAGCAACGCCGCGUGGGGGACGAAGGCCUUCGGGUCGUAAACUCCUGUCAGUAGGGGAAGAAUGUCUCUCGUUCAAUAGGCGAGAGGCUUGACGGUACCUGCAGAGGAAGCCCCGGCUAACUCCGUGCCAGCAGCCGCGGUAAUACGGAGGGGGCAAGCGUUAUUCGGAUUUAUUGGGCGUAAAGGGCGCGUAGGCGGCCUGAUAAGUCAGAGGUGAAAGCCCUCGGCUCAACCGAGGAAAAUGCCUCUGAAACUGUCUGGCUCGAGGCUGGGAGAGGACAGCGGAAUUCCUGGUGUAGCGGUGAAAUGCGUAGAUAUCAGGAGGAACACCCGUGGCGAAGGCGGCUGUCUGGACCAGUUCUGACGCUGAGGCGCG
rnacentral:rRNA from 1 species